rnacentral:rRNA from 1 species
GACGAACGCUGGCGGCGUGCUUAACACAUGCAAGUCGAACGCUGAAGCUUGGUGCUUGCACCGGGUGGAUGAGUGGCGAACGGGUGAGUAAUACGUGAGUAACCUGCCCUUGACUCUGGGAUAAGCCUGGGAAACUGGGUCUAAUACUGGAUACGACAUGCCACUGCAUGGUGGUGUGUGGAAAGGGUUUUACUGGUUUUGGAUGGGCUCACGGCCUAUCAGCUUGUUGGUGGGGUAAUGGCCUACCAAGGCGACGACGGGUAGCCGGCCUGAGAGGGUGAGCGGCCCGGCUGGGACUGAGACACGGCCCAGCCUCCUACGGGAGGCAGCAGUGGGGAAUAUUGCACAAUGGGCGGAAGCCUGAUGCAGCGACGCCGCGUGAGGGAUGACGGCCUUCGGGUUGUAAACCUCUUUCAGCACGGAAGAAGCGAGAGUGAGGGUACGUGCAGAAGAAGCGCCGGCUAACUACGUG